rnacentral:tRNA from 1 species
UGAUCGCUGAAUCAAUGAAAGAAACACAUUUUUUUUCAAUUCUAAUUUACAUAUCUGAGAAUUUGAAACCCAUUGAUUCCUUCC